GAUAAGAACGUAGCGAAAUGCGAUAAGUAAUGUGAAUUGCAGAAUUCAGUGAAUCAUCGAAUCUUUGAACGCACCUUGCGCUCCUUGGCAUUCCGAGGAGCAUGCCUGUUUGAGUGUCAUUAAAUUCUCAAGACCUGUCUGCUUUUUUGAUAGGUAUUGGAUUUUGGGGGUUGCAGGCUGUUUCAAAUAAAUAGCCUUGCUCUCCUUGAAUGUAUUAGUGGAGAAAAGCCAUUGAACUCCAUUGGUGUGAUAAAACCUAUCAAUGCCAGGAGCAAUAUCACUACUUCUCUCUGCUGUCUAACUGUGACUGUCUGUAUUAAUUAGUAUGGAUGGGGACAACUUGACCAACUUGACCUCAAAUCAGGUAGGACUACCCGCUGAACUUAAGCAUAUCAAUAAGCGGAGGA
rnacentral:misc_RNA from 1 species